CAAUGUUUCGGAAAGAACCUGCUCCGUCGCCCCAGUGUUCAGACUACCUGUUCAGGACAAUGCUGUUGUACAGUAGUCUGCACAUUGGUUAGACUGGGCAUGGGACAGCAACGACAUGGAU
rnacentral:pre_miRNA from 14 species